AUGUCCAUCCAUAGAUGAAUGGAUAAAGAAGAUGUGGUAUAUAUAUAUAUAUAUAUAUAUAUAUAUAUGUGUGUGUGUGUGUGUGUGUGCGGUGUGUGUGCGCGCGCACAUACACACACACACACAAUGGGACAUUACUCAGUAUAAAGAAAAAUGAAAUCUUGCCAUUUGCAACUACAUGGAUGGAUCUAGAGAGUGUAAAGCUAAUGGAAAUAAAUGAGUCAGAGAAAGACAAAUAACCAUAUGAUUUCACACAUAUGUGGAGUUUAAGAAACAAAGCAAAUGAACAAAGAAAAAAAGAAACAAACAAACAAAACCCCAGACUCUUAAAUAUGGAGAACUGGUGCUUCACAGAGGGGAGGGAUGGAUAAAUAGCUAAAAGGGAUUAAGAGUCCACUUAUCUUGAUGAUCACUGAAUAAGUUUGAAUCAUUGUACACCUGAAACUAAUAUAACACUAUAUAUUAAUUAUAUCUGAAUAAAACAAUGUAAGAAUAAAUAAUCUGGAUCAUUAUAAUGAUCAAUAUAAAUUCAAUUAAGGUAGUAAACCCUGUAAUCAUAGUAAUAUAAUAAACAGUUCACAUAUAGAGAUUAUAAUCUUUUUAUUUCUUUGAAUGGUGCUGCAUAUAUUCUAUUCAAGGAGUUUCUUAUUGGAAUAACUUUUUUUUUAAGCAGCUUUCUAUGUGCCAGUACUCUUCCAUAGUCUUCACAUAAAACACAGAAAGGUUAGGUACUUGUUCAAAGUCUCAUAAAUAAUGAUGGAUAAAGCUAUUUGCAUUCCAUCUGCAGUAAUCUGAUUCCCGAAAAAGAUCUAAAGUACGAUCACCAGUGUAGUGAGGCCUUUGGGGGAAAAGUCUGCUUCAUUCUACUAGCUUGGGAAGGCCACAGCCACUCAACUUCUUUCCGGAACCAGUGGAAUGUGAUUUAAUUAAUUUCUUUAAGUUGGAAAGGAAUGCUGGGGCUGAGCUAGGCUGGGGUUGGGGCUAGGAUGAAGAGGAAAGUGAAGGCAGGUUCUCAUCAUUCGUACUGAUAGGAAGAAAAGAUGGAAAUCUCCGGGUGCUGGAUAAUCCUGAUAGGAGAAAGGCCCUAGAAUAGAGGACUUCUGUCUAAAUCAAUUAGAGCAAUGGCUCUCAAAUGUAAUUCCAGACCAGCAGCAGCAGCAUCACCUGGUAACUUGCAGGAGUGAAAAUUCCCAUGCACAACACCAGACACACUGAGUCAGAAACUCUGGGCAUCAGGUCCAGAAAUCUGUUUUAACAAGCCUUCCAGGUGAUUCUGAUUCACUCUAAAGUUUGAGAAAAACUGAUUAGAGAAAGAAAGGAGAGACAAAGUGGUGAGUCUUUAAAUUGUUCUGGUAAGUAGGGAUAUGCUUUAUUUCCACCUGUGACCCACUGAGUCAGAGUGAGGACUAACUGGCCAGGUGCAAUGAUGUCACCCAAUUGACCAAUGGCUCCAGACAUUCCUGUGCUCCUUAAACACAGUUUCCAAGCACAGGUCCCUUUCUUCUCCCCCAUCUUCCGUUAUACAAACUGCCACCUUGUAAAGUACAGCAAACAACAAGGGGGAUAUGUAACACUGUCAGGAAUUAAACCCAAGAAGUUAAAAGCCAUCUUUUUCCGUGAAGUCAUUAUGCACUUGCCUCAUUUCCUGCUGACUUUCUCUCUCCGGAAUAGGAACCAGGAAAUCUUUGAGGCAGGUGCAGUUACAACAGAUGUUACAAAGCCUGAGACAGCUCAUUGCUUCCCCUGUUUGUUGUUAACUGAAUAGUUCCUUCACAGAAAUCACCUUGGUUCCUCACAGAAAAAUAUCACUUUCCUAUCUACUACAGUGUAUUUCUCCAGGUAACUGUACUUUCUUCUGGCAUCCCACACAACUUCUUUGUGGAUCAUGGGCUGUUAGGUGGAUGUUAAUGUUUGUCUUGCUGUUUCUUCCAGCUCUCAUAAAAUGGCCUUGACUAGGUAUCAGCCUCAUCAAUGCAAAAUUUCAAUGAUCCAGGAAAGAAUGUCUGAUAAGUACCAUGCAUUAACCAGAUGGUUUUCCUUUCAACUUCGUUAUCAUAAACAGACAAAAGAAAAGGAAACAUUUUCUGGAAUGUAACUUUUUAGAAGGCACCCUAGGAGUUGAUAGGCAGAAACAAAGAAGGCAGAGCAGAACUACUGUUCAGCAUGGACUCUACCCACCAGCCCGACUCAGCUACCUAAUGGCUAUGCAAACUAGGCCAAGUUACCUCACCUCUCUUUUUCUGCAAGCUCUUAGUUCACAGGGUUGUCGAAGGGAUUAAAACUGUUAAAUUUUAAAAAGCUCUUACAAGAGUAUCUGGAAAGUAUUAAUCACUUCUUAAGUGGCUGCUAUUAUUUUCUUUUUAUUAUGACUAUUGACCACAAGAAAUAUGUCCAAAGAAUGACCCAGUUCCAUCCACCAUCUUGUAUUUACCAGGACAGGAAAAUAAGCUAGUCUAGAGAAUGAGCAGCUCACAUUUAAUAGCUCUCCUUUGGAGCCAAGAAAUAACCUUCCCGUGCUGCCCAUUUAUCCUGUUAAUUAAGUUUUCAUACACAUUUCUUAACUCCUCACCUGGAUUAGCUGAUCCUUGAGAGCAGGUGCUCUGCAUUAGUACUCUUUGUACAAACCUGAAUACUAAGCACAGCAACUUUCGUAGCAUACUAGACUUAAUUUUCAGAAAGACAUUUUCCAGCCAACCAGAAAGAAUAAUUACCCCUAAAUCCUCACUCAUCCUGGCAUACUGAGGUUUUACUUUUGUUUAGGCUCUUUCUCAGGACACACCCUUGGUGCUACAAAUGAUGCUCACUGUCUACACUGCUUGCUUUGGUGUUGUGAUCUUCAAAAUUACUUCCAGGUCAAACAACUAAGUGAUAAAAUACUUACAGGCUUCUUCUGGAGACAUUAUUCUAAAUAAGUCCAUAAUUCUUAAUAAGUCCAUAAACCCAUGACAUAGUGCUUGCCCCCCUUCCUCCCCAAAUACUGUAAGACUACCAGACUUAAACAUUAUGAAGAGAUUGCUGGAGCAGUACAUGGUCCAGCAUGGAGUGCUAUGGUCAUCUGGAAAAUGAGAGCCCAAAGUGGGCGGUAACCAUCAGAAAAGACAUCAUGAAACAGUUGGGAACUGAGCUGGAUUUUCUACACUAAAAAGCCUGAAAUUCCCCCAUGUGUCUGAGGAGCAUUAUUUCACAUCACAUAGCACAGCCUCCCAUGUCCAGGCUGGUUACAACAGACAUUCUUAACAGGAAAAAAAAAUCCAGAAAGGUCUCAUGUGACAAUGACCAAUAAAAACAUAUCAGCUAGUGUUAAAUGCCAUAACUGAUUCUUAAUUAAAUAAACCCAGUUAGUACAAAGAGCUUUAAUGUCAUCUUCUCACCAAAUCACGUAGCCUCAACUGUCCAUAAAGGGAUUUCACCUUUACAAAGCUUUAUAUUGAGGCUGCUACAUUUGAAAAUGCAAAGACUUUUUUUAAUGUUGUAAGCUCUGUGAAAUCAGGUAUUCUAUUACUCUGGCAUUUUGCAUAUAAAGCUCUAUGUUAAUCAGCUUAUCAUAAUAAACUUAAAGGCCUGUUGGAAAUUGAUGUGAUCCUAAACCACUCAUUUAAGCACCUGAAGAGGCGGGGCUCUAUCUCAUUUACCAUUUUCUGACAGCACUGCCCCAUACCAGGCACUUACUAUAUAUAUAGUUUUUUGGGUUUUACUUAUAACUUGUACUUCACUAUCAAUAAUAAAAGCUAAUGAGAAUAUCUAAUACCAACCAACCAUAUUUGAUAACAAAAGUUCAAGCUAGCCAGCCAAAACAAUAUUGAUCAUCAUGAUUAUAAUCCUACCAGUUUAUAGCUCAGACUAUGGUUUGAAAAAUGCCUAAAUCUUAAAAAUUGAGAAUAAACUGAGGGUUGAUGGGGGUGGGAGGGAGGGGAGGGCGGGUGAUGGGCAUUGAGGAGGGCACCUGUUGGGAUGAGCUCUGGGUGUUGUAUGGAAACCUAUUUGACAAUAAAUUUCAUAUAAAAAAAAAAGAAAAGAAAAAUGCCCAAGUAUUUUCUCACCUGUACCAGGAUCCCCAAAGGUAAGUUCAGAUGUUCUCUGAUGUUCUCAGAUGUUCUCUCUUUUACUUCAGAUAAAAUUUUGUCUUCAUUUGUAGUAGAAAUCUAUCAGAAACAGAAUUUGAGACCACCAUCAUGUCUCUGUUAUAUUGUGUGUGUGUGUGUAUGUGUGUGUGUGUCUGUGUUAUGUCUUAAAAUGACGAUUUGGUGACUUCCAAACCUGACUUAUAGAAUUCCAUACAGAGCUUACAGUAUGAAAAAUUUAGUCAUUUGGGCCUCCACCACUCAUCUUCAACUGAAUUGGAACUUCUAAAGGUUAAGGCAGACAGAUAAAAUACAAGACAUCCAGUGAGAUCUGAAUUUCAAAUAAACAACAAAUAAUUCUUUUAAACCAGGUACACCUCCUGCCAUAUUUGGGACAUACUUAGGAUAAAAAUUAUUCAUUGUUUAUCUGAAAUUCAAAUUUAACUGGCAUCUCAGUUUUCUGGGGUGUUUUUUUGGGGGGGUCUUUUCUUCUUUUUAGUAAAUCUGGGACUCCUACCAAGGGUAGCAAAAAGGAAUCUGUAUCAUCUAUAGUUUCCAAGCUAGUUCUGUUCAAAUUGGUCUUUUAUUUUUCUCAAGUUUUUUUUUCUUUGUUUAUUCUUCUUUUUCAAAUCCACACUUUAGACUUAGAAUGAAGAGCUAUCACACAAGGUACAUAUUUUUUAAAGUUGGGGAGUUAAGUAUUAUGUAAGAAACAUUACCAUAAAUUUAUUCAUGAUUCAAGGGAAGCAUUUGAAUUUUUUCAUAAAAUGUUUGUUUCAAAUGUCUUAUUAUUUAGAUGUCACUUAACUUACACAGAUUGUAGCCACCAUUUUAUUUUUAUUCAAAAAUAUUUCCACACUAUGUCUAUUGUUAUAUGAAAGCCAUGGCCACCCAGUUUGGGUUUUUUACAUGCUAUCAAACACACAGCUAAGAAAAUAG
rnacentral:lncRNA from 1 species